rnacentral:rRNA from 1 species
AUUGAACGCUGGCGGCAGGCCUAACACAUGCAAGUCGAACGGUAACAGGAAGAAGCUUGCUUCUUUGCUGACGAGUGGCGGACGGGUGAGUAAUGUCUGGGAAACUGCCUGAUGGAGGGGGAUAACUACUGGAAACGGUAGCUAAUACCGCAUAACGUCGCAAGCCCAAAGAGGGGGACCUUCGGGCCUCUUGCCAUCGGAUGUGCCCAGAUGGGAUUAGCUAGUAGGUGGGGUAACGGCUCACCUAGGCGACGAUCCGUAGCUGGUCUGAGAGGAUGACCAGCCACACUGGAACUGAGACACGGUCCAGACUCCUACGGGAGGCAGCAGUGGGGAAUAUUGCACAAUGGGCGCAAGCCUGAUGCAGCCAUGCCGCGUGUAUGAAGAAGGCCUUCGGGUUGUAAAGUACUUUCAGCGGGGAGGAAGGGAGUAAAGUUAAUACCUUGGCUCAUUGACGUUACCCGCAGAAGAAGCACCGGCUAACUCCGUG